CCUGGCUCAGGAUGAACGCUAGCUACAGGCUUAACACAUGCAAGUCGAGGGGCAGCAUUUCAUUUUGCUUGCAAAGUGAAGAUGGCGACCGGCGCACGGGUGAGUAACACGUAUCCAACCUGCCGAUAACUCGGGGAUAGCCUUUCGAAAGAAAGAUUAAUAUCCGAUGGUAUAUCAAUCCCGCAUGAGAUUGAUAUUAAAGAAUUUCGGUUAUCGAUGGGGAUGCGUUCCAUUAGUUUGUUGGCGGGGUAACGGCCCACCAAGACUACGAUGGAUAGGGGUUCUGAGAGGAAGGUCCCCCACAUUGGAACUGAGACACGGUCCAAACUCCUACGGGAGGCAGCAGUGAGGAAUAUUGGUCAAUGGACGUAAGUCUGAACCAGCCAAGUAGCGUGAAGGAUGACUGCCCUAUGGGUUGUAAACUUCUUUUAUAUGGGAAUAAAGUAUUCCACGUGUGGGAUUUUGUAUGUACCAUAUGAAUAAGGAUCGGCUAACUCCGUGCCAGCAGCCGCGGUAAUACGGAGGAUCCGAGCGUUAUCCGGAUUUAUUGGGGUUAAAGGGAGCGUAGUGGGAUGUUAAGUCAGUUGUGAAAGUUUGCGGCUCAACCGUAAAAAUUGCAGUGAAACUGGCAGUCUUGAGUACAGUAGAGGUGGGCGGAAUUCGUGGUGUAGCGGUGAAAUGCUUAGAUAUCACGAAGAACUCCGAUUGCGAAGGCAGCUCACUAGACUGUCACUGACACUGAUGCUCGAAAGUGUGGGUAUCAAACAGGAUUAGAUACCCUGGUAGUCCACACAGUAAACGAUGAAUACUCGCUGUUUGCGAUAUACAGUAAGCGGCCAAGCGAAAGCAUUAAGUAUUCCACCUGGGGAGUACGCCGGCAACGGUGAAACUCAAAGGAAUUGACGGGGGCCCGCACAAGCGGAGGAACAUGUGGUUUAAUUCGAUGAUACGCGAGGAACCUUACCCGGGCUUAAAUUGCAUUUGAAUAUGUAGGAAACUAUAUAGCCGCAAGGCAAAUGUGAAGGUGCUGCAUGGUUGUCGUCAGCUCGUGCCGUGAGGUGUCGGCUUAAGUGCCAUAACGAGCGCAACCCUUAUCUUCAGUUACUAACAGGUCAUGCUGAGGACUCUGGAGAGACUGCCGUCGUAAGAUGUGAGGAAGGUGGGGAUGACGUCAAAUCAGCACGGCCCUUACGUCCGGGGCUACACACGUGUUACAAUGGGGGGUACAGAAGGCAGCUACCUGGUGACAGGAUGCUAAUCCCAAAAACCUCUCUCAGUUCGGAUCGAAGUCUGCAACCCGACUUCGUGAAGCUGGAUUCGCUAGUAAUCGCGCAUCAGCCAUGGCGCGGUGAAUACGUUCCCGGGCCUUGUACACACCGCC
rnacentral:rRNA from 1 species